rnacentral:siRNA from 1 species
AUGGCAGCCAUUGUAAAUAAGUCU